GACGAACGCUGGCGGCGUGCUUAACACAUGCAAGUCGAACGGUAAGGCCCUUCGGGGUACACGAGUGGCGAACGGGUGAGUAACACGUGGGUGAUCUGCCCUGCACUUCGGGAUAAGCCUGGGAAACUGGGUCUAAUACCGGAUAGGACUCCUGGCUUCAUGGUUGGGGGUGGAAAGCUUUUGCUGUGUGGGAUGGGCCCGCGGCCUAUCAGCUUGUUGGUGGGGUAAUGGCCUACCAAGGCGACGACGGGUAGCCGGCCUGAGAGGGUGACCGGUCAAACUGGGAUGGAGAUACGGCACAGACUCCUACGGGAGGCAGGAGUGGGGAAUAUUGCAGAACGGGCGCAAGCCUGAUGCAGCGACGCCGCGUGAGGGAUGACGGCCUUCGGGUUGUAAACCUCUUUCAGCUAUGACGAAGAGAAAGUGACGGUAGUAGCAGAAGAAGGACCGGCCAACUACGUGCCAGCCGCCGCCGUAA
rnacentral:rRNA from 1 species